rnacentral:rRNA from 1 species
CACGGGGGGAGCAAGCGUUGUUCGGAAUCACUGGGCGUAAAGGGCGUGUAGGCGGUCAAGUAAGUGGAAUGUGAAAUCCCCCGGCUUACCCGGGGACCGGCAUCCCAUACUGCUUGGCUUGAGUACGGGAGAGGAUGUGGGAAUUCCUGGUGUAGCGGUGAAAUGCGUAGAUAUCGUAAGGAAGACCAGUGGCGAAGGCGGGUCUCUGGACAGUUCCUGACGCUGAGGCACGAAGGUCAGGGGAGCAAACGGG